GAGCAUGGCCAGGACAGCUGGCCAGAACUGGCCAAAGGGACAUUCCACAGCAUAGACUACCACACUCAGUGUGGACAUAAACUGGAGAGAGCUGGCUGGAAACCCUCUGAUUGCUGCUGGGGGACAGGCUGGGCACUGAUCAGCAGGUGGAUAACUCCAGAAGAAGGCACUGUGACUCCAGAAGAAGCCAUCAGACCAGGAUUUUCAGAUUUUGGGACUUGCUGCUGGACCCUGGACACGUUACACUUUUUAAAAGAGGCAGAAAGGAACCUGAAACCAUAGCAGUUUUCAACAAAGUUUUUUUAUGCAAAUGUCAAGGCAAAAACAUUUAUUCAGGAUUGACAGAGUAGGAAUAAGUUUUUCAUUCAAAGAAAUGUCAUCAAUCUGAGGUAUUAGUAGCAUUACUUUGUAAGUGUACCUUAUUAUCCUCCCAAAUCAAGCUUUAAUCUGUUUCAAUCCAGGAUCAUAGCAGUUUCUGUAGCAAGGAUUUCCAGACUAAAAAUUAUGGGUACUUAUAGGGCUGUGAAGGAGGAAGUGUAGCCUCGUGUGACUCCUAGGAGUCUGGGGUGGGAGAAAUCUGGCCUCAAGCUGCUGGGAUGCAGCAGACGACUGUGGGGCCUUCAACAGAGGGGUUAGAGACCUUCUGCACUGAGCAGAGCAGGAAGAAUUAAUCAUUAAAAAGAACUUUUAAAUCAUGAAGAUAAAACAGAGAUUCCCAAAACAGAUGUGAUUCCCAUAGAAUAUUAUCUAUCUAAUGGAGAAAAGAUAUACUUCAGAACAAGUUUGUAUACACAUACACAAGCAUAUGCAGAACUGAUUAAGCACUGCUCAGUAAGUUUGUUCUGGUUAUGUUUUUUUAUGUGCGUAAAUGGAAAAAAUAUGGCAUCUGAUAACAAAAUCAACAGACAACUGAAAGUGACCAGACAUCAAAGGGUUUUGAAGGCUAAUAAAAUCUUUCCCCAUCCUGGAGAGGGUCUGAUCUUUCCCCUCAACUGAAUUCCAGAUCCAGUUAUGAAAGAACAGCAACUUUUUUUGGCUACAAUGGACCUAAGAGCUCUUCCAUUCAGUAUCACAAUGCCAGAAGAAGUUAGACCUUCAGAGAAGAGAACUUACUGGCCGUAAUGGAUUGUGGUUACUGAGACACUUCGAGAAAAAAAUUGCAAAGGAAUGGAUACUUGUGCUGUAAUUGCUAGAGAAAGACAGCUAAGGAAAAU